rnacentral:RNase_P_RNA from 1 species
GGGAACAACGGAAUCGUCGGGCCUGCAGGUUGGGGAUCUGCAGGUCAGGAGGAAAGUCCGGGCUCCUUCGGAAAAGAUGCCGGUUAACGACCGGGCAGGGCAACCUGACAGAAAGCGCCACAGAAAACGUACCGCCAUGCUUGCAUGGUAAGGGUGAAAAGGCGGUGUAAGAGACCACCGGGUUUUCUGGUAACAGAAACCGCAUGGCAAGCCUCAUCUGGAGCAAAAACAAGCAGUAAUGGUAUUCCGACAGGCAGAAAUGCCUCCAUUACGGGUAGUUUGCUUGAUCAGAAGGGUAACCUUCUGGCAGGAUAGAUGGUUCUACUCAUAGAGUGACAGAACCCGGCUUAUUGUUGUUUCUGUUU